UGACAGAAGUGUGUGAAUCAGCGCCAUCCAUCCUGUAACAUGUAAGCCUUCUCCCCUGUGGUUGACUUUAGAGUCCAAGCUAAAGGCAAAAAUGAUACAGUGAGUUCAGCCAACAAAACCUAAAGGGUGUUUCUCAUGCAGAGUCAUUUCACUUAAGAUUCUCUUAUUGUUACACCCAAAAAAUAUUUGAAUAACUAAAAAACAGGACGACGAGCAAACUGCAGCAAGAGAACUCACUAGCGCUCCCUGAACUCUGCGGGUUUAUGUCAGCAAUUCUCCUGUUCCAUAACACUCAAAGCAAUAAAGUCAGAAUGUUGUAAAUGUAAUGAGGUGCAGAAGGGAGAAAGCAAGGGCAAAAGAUAUGGCCAAGAUGGCUCCCAGACAUGUGUCGUCGUACAAACACAAGUGCUUUUUCACAAAUGCAACAAUUCAGACACAAACACUCAAAGCAUGUCACUAACCAAUUCAAGGACGAUUAAUCACACACACAUAACAGAACCUUGGUCAUCAGACAAUAACAAAUGCAGUCCUUUGUAAAAUACAGUACAUCUUAAUGUUCUUCUGACACUUCUCUGCCUGAUGACACUUAUUUUCACAUGAGACCUGGAUGUAACAAGUACUUUUUGUUGGGGACCAUCAGCGGUCUAUGAAUACCUCGGUUUUGGUGGAGAUAGGAUUACUUACUGAUUAUAAGGUCUGAGUAAACAGCCGUAUUUCCCAGUCAAGUAUUAAGAAAGAGCACAACCCAUGGCAUGCAUCAGAGGGACGGACCUCUGUUCUGCAUGCCACACAGGGUAAAGAUAAACUGGCAGGUUUGUCAUCAACAGCGCAAACAACUUUUCCCUCUAAAAGUAACCUGAAGUGCUUCUGUAAUUUCAUAUUUCAUUUGUAGUCUUGAUCCAUGACAGUGAAGAUGAGGAUGAAUGAGGAUGAGGGCUUUCUUUAACUGCUGCAUCUCAGGAGCUGACAUCGUCCAUUCAGACAACACCUCAGUUCAAACUGCACAGGCGGGCGGCAGAACAAUCAAGAAAAAUGAAAUUAAAUGUUAAUUUGUGAACAGAGCAGAGUCGGUCUCCAUAACAACAGAGAGUCGGGCAGACAUCCUGUACAGAGGAAGCACGUACAACUGCUGACACCUCAUGGGAAAUCAAGAGUUAAAGAACUCUACAAUUUUAUUUUAUUCAUCAGUUAUUUCUCUUCUCAAUUUAGCAAUGAGAAACUAUUUCAGUUCAACAAAUCAGAGUGGAAAUAAAAAAAAUCAAGUUUGUGAUUCUAUUUCUUGUGUUUUCAAUUUUUUUUUGAACAGGUGGAAUUGAGGUUAAGACAAUUUGAAUGGCUUGAAUUCAAAAUCAUUCAUGCUGGUAACACAGAGUGAAGGUGCAGUGCUCGGGGUAUUUACAGUCAAAUGUAUUCACCACAAUAAUUCUUUACUAGAAAUGAAGGGAUUUUCUGGCAGGUGAACCUUUACACACAACUGUGUGCACUUCCAAUGACCCACGUUGAAGCGGGACACCAGAGAGCCAGCAGCUGUUAGGGAAAGGUGAAUUUAAAUUCAUCCCAUGACAAGAAAACAGCCACCAGACCAGUAACAGCAAAUGAAAGGUAAAGGUAAAGGUAAAGGUAAAGGUAAAGGUAAAGGUAAAACCUUGCCUCAAGAUCUGUUUCCAUCUCAGUAUGUUAAACAUGUCAGUGCAGGAGUGCCCAGACCUGGCCCCUGAGAUGUAACACCUUGCCUGUUUUCCAGCUCACCGUGCACUUUUUGCUACUGAUUACUUGGAUCAGGUGUGUUUAGUUACCCCGAAUAAGGAGACAGCUGAGUCACCUAUUUAGCAGAAACCAGUGAACAGAGAACUGGAAAACAAGCAGAGUGGAAGACUUCUAGGACCAAGACUGGGCAGCCCUGUGUGAAUGCAUGACUAUGGUGGUGCAGCAACUUCCAGCAGACGACCAUGAAAAGCUGUUCAUCUUCAGCUCAUACUGCAGUAAAACGAUCACCGACAAACACAUCCAUCCACAUCACCAACAUGGACGAGAUGCCGCUCACUUUUGACAUCCUGGUGGUCCCACUGUCAAACGGAGGACACAGUUUUACUAAGACUGGGAGGCGCCGGCUUUCACAGAAGCCGGCAUCAUUCAUGAGGAGCUGCAGGCAACGAGACGGACUCUGUCGAUGACGGAAAGGAGCCUGGCGUGUUUGAUAGAAAUGUAGCCCAGCUGUUCAUUUCAGAUACAGAAGAUGAGGACUUUGAUGGA